rnacentral:tRNA from 1 species
GGGGAUUUGGCUCAGUGGUAGAGCGCUUGCCUAGCAAGCACAAGACCCUGGGUUCGAUCCCCGGCUCCG